rnacentral:misc_RNA from 1 species
GUGAAUCAUCAAAUUUUUGAACGCAAAUUGCGCCUUUUUCGGAAGGCAUGGCUGUUUGAGGGCAACAUUUAACAAAUAAUGUGCACCGUUUUGUGUGUGCACACGUUGAUGAGCUGUCCAGGAAAAAAAUUUUUUUUUUUGGGGGCGAGAAAGGAACAGCGGGAAAGUUUUUUUUUAAGU